rnacentral:rRNA from 1 species
GACGAACGCUGGCGGCGUGCCUAAUACAUGCAAGUAGAACGCUGAAGAGAGGAGCUUGCUCUUCUUGGAUGGGGUGCGAACGGGUAAGUAACGCGUAGGUAACCUGCCUUGUAGCGGGGGAUAACUAUUGGAAACGAUAGCUAAUACCGCAUAACAAUGUAUGACACAUGUCAUUUAUUUGAAAGGGGCAAUUGCUCCACUACAAGAUGGACCUGCGUUGUGUUAGCUAGUAGGUGAGGUAAUGGCCGAACUAGGCAACGAUACAGAGCCGACCAGGGAGGGUGAACGGCCAAAACGGGACUGUAGAACCGCCCAGAAUCCCACGGGGGGCAGCAGUAGGGAAUCUUUGGCCAUGGGGGUAAAGCUGAACGGAGAACGCCGCGUGAGGGAAGGAAGUUUUCGGGUUGGAAAGAUCUGUUGUAAGUCAAGAACGGGUGUGAGAGUGGAAAGUUCACACUGUGACGGUAGCUUACCAGAAAGGGACGGCUAACUACGUG